rnacentral:lncRNA from 1 species
GUAUAUUCUUACCUCGAUUGAGGAGGCGCAUAGGGUAACUCUUGAGGUAAAACUUUAGAGUUCACUUCAUGCCAAACCACCACGUGAGGGUGAACUCAGCCAACGCCAAGGAACGGCUAUGUUUUCAAAAUAAAAACAUGAUUUAUGCGUACAUGACUUUUUAACAGCCUUGGCAGACUCGUUUGGGAUAACCCCAGGCUAAGGUAUCCUUGACAACUGAGUAUGAGAAUGAUUUUGGCACGAACCAAGCUUUUCAGGAAAUCAUAAGCCUCGUUGUUUAUUUAGGUGAAAUGAAUCUAUUUUAUCUU